AAUAAAACGUAUUUGAAUAGUAUUAAACCAUGUAUCACAUUAAACGUUUAAGAAUUUUUGCAACUUGAGUAGUAAUACAAUCGUUGACCAUACCUAGAAACAUACUUGCAGUUUAAUACACAGUAACACGAUAAACCGAAACAUAAUGUCAUCCCAAUAUCACCAGAGUUAUAGGGAGGGAAACCCAGGGAGGGAAAAUACUGGCCUCUUGUCAUUAUUAAAAAUAAUAUUAUAGGUACACUACGUUAGCAUAAUCUAAAAUUUUACAUGACAGGAGGCUUCGUAUUUUGCAUUUUUAACGCUGUGCCUGAAAAGCAAAGUAAAGUCUGAC